AAACUUUAAAACGCCAUCAAACUCUAACCGAUGCACGGCUAAAAUUUGGUCCCAUCCUCGGUGAUAAUGCAGGCGUUGUGUCCUUUACUCCCCUUGGCUGCCCCUCCUCUCGUGGGCACUACCCUAUAAAUCGUUGUGAAUAAAGCAAUCCUCGUCCUCCAUGAUCCAAUUCCAUUCCUCACAAAUAAUGUAACUGAGAUAGAGAGGGAAUAAGGUAUAAUUGGGUGGGAGAGCGUGAAUGAGAGACGGAAGAUUUGCAAUUGGCAGAGAAGAGGGUGGUUUCAGACGCACGCUAGCGUUGCGCCACCAAAACUUGCAAGAGGAGUGAUGGUGCCACGCUGCGUGCGUCUAAAAUCUUUAACCCCUUGAUUUUCUUUUUUCUUUUUCAUAUAAUUAACGCCAAUUGAAGGAAUUCAAACAUCAAACCUGGACUGGAAGAAAAAUGGUGAAGAGCUGAGAUGUUAGGUUUUCCAAAUUUGAAUCUUGGUUUUGGAAAUUGGAAUAUUAUUGUUUAUUUUGAUUUUCAUUGUUCUAGUUCUCUGCAUUUAUAUCUUCCUGUUUUUCUUUUGUGUUAAUUUGACACCCUACUAGUCUCCAGUUUCGAUUGGCAGAGUGAAAUGACAGGCCACAUGACAAGGAAAUGCAAUUUCUGUAAAUAACAGUGGAGCAAUGAUCGUGCCUACCAAGCAGGUGAGUUCGUAUGCUCUUACCUCGCACUUAACAUGCUUGUUGCUAGAAAUCUGAACCAUAAGAUUGACCUGUCCGAAAUCUGAAUCCACUAGUUUGGUUCGAUUUGAGUUCUAUACAUGAGUUGAGUCACUUUAAAACUUGGUUAUAUUUUAUUAACCUAAGUAUUUUUUUUGUUUUUUAUUAAAUCAAGUUUAAAUUUUACUAGAUAAUUUCACAAGCUUAGUUUUAUAAUAAAUCAACUUGAAAAAACUCGUUAAGGUCUAGAAAACCUAAAUUCAUUAUUUUUUUUUAAGUUUCUGGGUUUUUAUAUUAAUUUUUAGUUUUAUAUUCUCUAUUCUAUUUGAAUUAGGAUUGUAAUUUUUUCACUUGAUUUUUAUUUUAUUUAGGAGUAGUGAACCUUUUAAAUAAACAAACUUGAAAAAUCAAUAAUAAAGUAUGAAUUCAGUCAAUUCUAUCUUUUUAAUUGUUGUUUUUUUUAUAUUAUUUUCAUCCGCGUGACUUUGAUGUUGAAAUUUAGCGUGUGAAGUACCCUUGACUAUCAUUUUAUUAUUGUUUUUUAAGGAUAUUUUUACGUUACAUGACUAAUUAUAUGUAAACCAAAACAGUUUAUUUCAUCAGUUCAAUUAAUUUAAUUAGUAAGACAAAACAGUGUGACUGGCUCGAUCUAGUGCAGUGCAAUUGGCUUGAUCUAAUAUACUGCGAAAUUUCUCUAAGCCGAUGUGACAUAAUUGACUUCACUAAUCCUGUUUUAUGUUAAAGAUAAUGAUUGUUUGUCACUAUGUUUUAAAAAUAUUUUUUUAUUUUAAAUUAAUAUAUUUUAAUGUUUUCAAAUCAUUUUAAUAUUUUCAAAUUAUUUUAAUAUAUCAAUUAUAAAAAUAAUUUUUUAAAAAUAAAAUAAUAUUUAUAUUUUUAAAUAAAAUCAUUUUAAAAAACAAUUAAUACCUUAUUCCCUCAUAGCAGAUAUUAAGGACGGUAGCUGUUUGCUUCUUAUAGCAAGAUAUUAAGGUGCAGAUCAAAACAAACCGGGUCUCGUGUUCUGCGAAGUGUGAGGUGUGAACUUUUCAAAGGCCUCGAAUUAAUGGACUCUUGUAAGAAACAGAACACUUGGCACAGAUCUUUGAUGGUACUUCAGAAUUGAACCUGCUACUGCUUCAGCCGCCUAUAAAAGAAGAUGAAAACCGUUGCUUUCUCUCUUGCACUGGAAAACGCAUUUUUAUAGCCCUGCAUUUAGUAAAAUAAAAUAAAAUAUUUAUUUCGCGAAUUAACAUGUCAGCAACGAGUUACACUUUUAAUUAUCGUGAUAAUAAAUUGUAACAUUUUAAAUCACGAUAUUAAUUAAAUAUCGUGAAAUAAGAUUUGAAUUGA
rnacentral:lncRNA from 1 species